CCUANGGGCGGCAGCAGUGAGGAAUAUUGCGCAAUGGGGGCAACCCUGACGCAGCAACGCCGCGUGAGUGAGGAAGGUUUUCGGAUCGUAAAGCUCUGUCGAGCGGGAAGAAAUGCAUGGUGGCUAAUAUCCAUUAUGCUUGACGGUACCGCUAAAGGAAGCACCGGCUAACUCCGUGCCAGCAGCCGCGGUAAUACGGGGGGUGCUAGCGUUGUUCGGAAUUAUUGGGCGUAAAGAGCGUGUAGGCGGCUGGAUAAGUCAGAUGUGAAAGCCCUGGGCUUAACCCAGGAAGUGCAUUUGAAACUGUCCGGCUUGAGUAAGGGAGAGGAAAGUGGAAUUCCUGGUGUAGAGGUGAAAUUCGUAGAUAUCAGGAGGAACACCGGUGGCGAAGGCGACUUUCUGGCCCUAUACUGACGCUGAGACGCGAGAGCGUGGGUAGCAAACAGGAUUAGAUACCCCANUANUC
rnacentral:rRNA from 1 species